CUUACUUCAGUUAAUAUUAUCUAGUUUACAUUUUAAACGCAGCUUAAAUAAAUUAAACCGUCUGGUAACUGCCUAAGCUGUCCUCGAUCGACACUAGCACUUGGCAGCACUGCACUUUGACAUGUUAGUAAAAGUGUUACUGUUGAAUGCCGUUAAGUGAAAAAUUGAAUUGAAAUUUUAAAAAAUCUGCAAUUUCAGCUCAGCGAAGCUAAAUUUCUAUCAAAACACUGCUCAAAUUCCAAAAUUGUUUCCAACAUUUCAAACACACUGCCAUGCAGCACAUUUUGGCCUCAGCAGACUUCCUGUCCCCAGUGCCACUCGAGCACACACACACACACACCAACAGAGCGCAGCACAAGCACAUAAACCGCCACACAAUGCGAAAUGGCUCGAGUAUGGGCAAUAAAAUGUCAACUGGCAUUUAAAAGUGUCUUAACUAUUUAAAUAAUCAAAUAGCGACGUCUACUCACCCAAGCAACGGAAUGGUUUGAUCCAACGAUGUGCCCCUUUGCAUUUUGCCGAAUUCAAAGCACCCUGACGACACCAGCCGCCGAUUUUCUGAUAAUGCGAAGAUUCAACAAUAUUAGUGAUGUCACGAUUCGGAUAAGCCUGUAAGAAAGGGAUGAGAGUAAUUCGGUUAAGCGCACACACACACACAUACACACGUGCGGACGAGUGCAGUGUAUCUGCCAUGUGAGUGAAAGCCAAAAGGACGCUGUGAAAUUUCGAUGGGAAAACGAAAACGAAUGCCCAGCGGCGGCGCAAACGAACAACACGUGCUGCUACAACAACAAGGUCAGCAACAACAAAAGCAAAAGUGUCUGCCAUUUCACCUUUAAAAGGAAAAAGAAAGUCGCGGGCGCCUUUGAGGCUCACCUGUUUACUCAUUCACUGCUCACCAGCAGUAUCGAUUGGAAAUUGCUUGUACUCCAAAUAUAGAGUAAUCGAAAAGUAGAGCAGCUAUGCAUGUGUGUGUGACGCCGAAUUUGGGUCACUUGCGCGCCUUUGUCGAUUACUUUACGGAGCCUCACUUAACCUUUUGUGAACGCAAUUUGGCUAAAUUCGAAAUCAAUUAUGAAAGCGGAAGUAAUAACAAGGAAAUUCGACACACUUUAUUGGCAAAUGUGCUAACGACAACGCCCAGUAUUCAUUUAUAUAGCAAUUUACUAUCCUGCGAGCACAAUAGAAGAAGAAUUUCAUUCGACGACGAAGCUGAACUAUUUUUGAACUUAGACUGAAAACUUGAAAAAUCGCUGAAACAAAGAAAGUUCUUUUGAAAUUUAAGCAUUAAAAUUGCAAACCACUCCUUACAAUGCGGUGUAUAAGACCAUUCAAGUAAAACACAUAAAUA